rnacentral:rRNA from 1 species
GAUGAACGCUGUCUACAGGCUUAACACAUGCAAGUCGAGGGGAAACGACGGGGAAGCUUGCUUCCCCGGGCGUCGACCGGCGCACGGGUGAGUAACGCGUAUCCAACCUGCCUCUGACUGAGGGAUAACCCGUCGAAAGUCGGCCUAAUACCUCAUGGCAUCGUCUGCGGGCAUCCAACGACGAUUAAAGAUUUCAUCGGUCAGGGAUGGGGAUGCGUCUGAUUAGCUUGUUGGCGGGGUAACGGCCCACCAAGGCUACGAUCAGUAGGGGUUCUGAGAGGAAGGUCCCCCACAUUGGAACUGAGACACGGUCAAAACUCCUACGGGAGGCAGCAGUGAGGAAUAUUGGUCAAUGGGCGGGAGCCUGAACCAGCCAAGUAGCGUGCAGGAUGACGGCCCUAUGGGUUGUAAACUGCUUUUAUGCGGGGAUAAAGUGAGGGACGUGUCCUUCAUUGCAGGUACCGCAUGAAUAAGGACCGGCUAAUUCCGUG